CAGGCGUUUAUUAGAACAGUUGCACACCGUGUUUCCUUCCUAGAAGAGAAAGUGCCCGAAGCAAAGAAGAGUCAUGGUGCCUUUUUAAUACCACUUUCCAACUGUUUCGAUAUGCAGUUAUCCCAUCUUUAAAAACGUCUGGGACAUACCUUAACUCUGUAAAGAACAUCAUGAAUAUGCAGUCUGGUUAACAGGCAUGGAAAGGACACGACCUCCUCCAGGAGUGGCACUUUAAGAUCUGCCAAAACUCUAUCAAACCAAAGACUUUUUCCCUAUGAACAAUGUAGGUACCAAGUAUCAAAAUCAUUGAUUUCUGUCUCUUUUAUAAAAGGCUGGGUUUGUUCUUAUGGUUCAUACUUUAUAUAUGUAAGUAGAAGCAACUGUUAUACUUCAGAUCUUUGG
rnacentral:lncRNA from 1 species